rnacentral:rRNA from 1 species
GACGAACGCUGACGGUGUGCUUUAGACAUGCAAGUCGAACGCGAAAGCCCUUCGGGUUAGUAGAGUGGCGAACGGGUGAGUAACACGUGGGCAAUCUGCCCCUCGCAGGGGGACAACCGGAGGAAACUCCGGCUAAUACCCCGUACCGCUUGCGGAACCGCAUGGUACCGCAAGGAAAGGUAGCUUCGGCCAUCCGGCGAGGGAUGAGCCCGCGGUGCAUUAGCUAGUUGGUGGGGUAACGGCCCACCAAGGCGACGAUGCAUAGCUGGUCUGAGAGGAUGAUCAGCCACACUGGGACUGAGACACGGCCCAGACUCCUACGGGAGGGCAGCAGUCGGGAAUCUUGCGCAAUGGGCGAAAGCCUGACGCAGCAACACCGUGUGAGCGACGAAGGCC